AUUGAACGCUGGCGGCAGGCUUAACACAUGCAAGUCGAGCGAGUGGCGGACGGGUGAGUAAUGUCUGGGGAUCUGGCUGAUGGAGGGGGAUAACUACUGGAAACCGUAGCUAAUACCGCAUACUAUAGGAUGAGCCCAUGUGGGAUUAGCUAGUAGGUGGGGUAAAGGCUCACCUAGGCGACGAUCUCUAGCUGGUCUGAGAGGAGGACCAGCAAAAUGGGGAGUGAGACACGGCCCAGACUCCUAGGGGAGGCAGCAGUGGGGAAUAUUGCGCAAUGGGGGCAAGCCGGAGGCAGCCAUGCCGCGUGAAUGAAGAAGGCCUUAGGGUUGUAAAGUACUUUCAGCGGCGAGGCGUUACCCGCAGAAGAAGCACCGGCUAACUCCGUGCCAGCAGCCGCGGUAAUUC
rnacentral:rRNA from 1 species